ACCUGAGAGUAAAUGUCUUCCCUUGGAGCACCAGAUUGGAGGGAAACUCACACAAAGGAAAUCCCCUCUGGUUGUGUGGUGCUGUGGAAUGGCUCCCAAGGUCGACUCAGGAAGAUGAAGUCCAUGUUCUACAGCAGUCUCAAGAUGAGCCAUGCCAGAUGCCUGCAGGACGGCAACAGAAGUGGAAACAAAUGGAACCUCCCUUGUGUUGAGAUGUGACACUGAGCAUCAACCUGGAGACCACCGGACUUUAACUGGACACCUUUAAAUAUCCCCAUCAGCAGCUCUGCCCUUCGCAGGUAUGUCUGGUGAGUCACGCCGUCUGUUACCGCGGCUUUCACCAGCUGAAGGUUUCUGUUGUCAGGGAUUUCACUGCUGACAACAUUUUCAAAAGAACUACUGUCACAAUGGAUCUACAUGAAGCCAUUCAGGACAAGCGGAGAGGUAGGAAGUCCUUUUUCUUUUUUUGGGUGGAAGCGCAAGGCCUCUCCAGUUUUCCACUGGUUCUUCGUCUGUGCCACCAACUUUCAAGGCAG